UAGAUUGAUCAGGUGAAGGUGGUGAUCUUUUAUUGUCCGGCGAUGGAGUUCUCACGUCAUUAAGGUUGACAGUUGUUAUAUCAUGAAUACUAGCUCUUCUCUUAUCUUUCCCUCCUGAAAGCUGCCUGAUAAAAUACUUCUGUGCAUGACUAGCCACCUGAGUUGGCGUUCUAGUUACAACAAAAUUCCGCGAUAUAUUUCUCCAGUCUCCUUUGCCAUACUUUUUCAAGCCCAUCAGGAACAACUUGUGCUCCUCCUCCGUCCAUGGAACUCCUUUCUUUCUCUCCUGAUCAGCGGGCCGACCUGACGGAGAUCUCUUCCCACCAAGAGCAUAAGAUUGUUUGAAGCCAUCAUAGGUAUUACUGCUAGCCCAAUCCAAUGUGAAGGGAGAGGUUCUAUAUCCAGGAAUUGGAAUCAGC
rnacentral:misc_RNA from 1 species